rnacentral:sRNA from 1 species
AGCAGCCGCGGUAAUUCCAGCUCCAAUAGCGUAUAUUAAAGUUGUUGCAGUUAAAAAGCUCGUAGUUGAAUUUCGGGGUCAGUAGGUCGGUCGUGCCACAGGUAUGCACUGGUCUCACUGAUUCCUCCUUCCUGAUGAACCGUAAUGCCAUUAAUUUGGUGUUGCGGGGAGACUGGACUGUUACUUUGAAAAAAUUAGAGUGUUUAAAGCAGGCUAACGCUUGAAUACAUUAGCAUGGAAUAACGGAAUAGGACGUUCGAUCUUAUUUUGUUGGUUUCUAAGAUUGACGUAAUGAUUAAUAGGGAUAGUUGGGGGCAUUAGUAUUCAAUUGUCAGAGGUGAAAUUCUUGGAUUUAUUGAAGACUAACUACUGCGAAAGCAUUUGCCAAGGAUGUUUUCAUUAAUCAAGAACGAAAGUUAGGGGAUCGAAGACGAUCAGAUACCGUCGUAGUCUUAACCAUAAACUAUGCCGACUAGGGAUCGGAUGAUGUUAAUUUUUUAAUGACUCAUUCGGCGUCCG